rnacentral:rRNA from 1 species
GCGAGGGGAGUGAAAAAGAACCUGAAACCGUGUACGUACAAGCAGUGGGAGCCCCACCACUAAGCCAGUGGUGAACUCCACAUACGCAUCCUUUGCUGAGGAUACGGUUAACGGAGCGAAAGCGACGUUCAACCGCAAAAGAAGCAGAGGGGGCUUAGUGGUGGGGUGACUGCGUACCUUUUGUAUAAUGGGUCAGCGACUUAUAUUCUGUAGCAAGGUUAACCGUAUAGGGGAGCCGCAGGGAAACCGAGUCUUAACCGGGCGUUAAGUUGCAGGGUAUAGACCCGAAACCCGGUGAUCUAGCCAUGGGCAGGUUGAAGGUUGGGUAACACUAACUGGAGGACCGAACCGACUAAUGUUGAAAAAUUAGCGGAUGACCUGUGGCUGGGGGUGAAAGGCCAAUCAAACCGGGAGAUAGCUGGUUCUCCCCGAAAGCUAUUUAGGUAGCGCCUCGUGAACUCAUCUCCGGGGGUAGAGCACUGUUUCGGCUAGGGGGCCAUCCCGGCUUACCAACCCGAUGCAAACUGCGAAUACCGGAGAAUGUUAUCACGGGAGACACACGGCGGGUGCUAACGUCCGUCGUGAAGAGGGAAACAACCCAGACCGCCAGCUAAGGUCCCAAAGUCAUGGUUAAGUGGGAAACGAUGUGGGAAGGCCCAGACAGCCAGGAUGUUGGCUUAGAAGCAGCCAUCAUUUAAAGAAAGCGUAAUAGCUCACUGGUCGAGUCGGCCUGCGCGGAAGAUGUAACGGGGCUAAACCAUGCACCGAAGCUGCGGCAGCGACACUAUGUGUUGUUGGGUAGGGGAGCGUUCUGUAAGCCUGUGAAGGUGGCCUGUGAGGGUUGCUGGAGGUAUCAGAAGUGCGAAUGCUGACAUAAGUAACGAUAAAGCGGGUGAAAAGCCCGCUCGCCGGAAGACCAAGGGUUCCUGUCCAACGUUAAUCGGGGCAGGGUGAGUCGACCCCUAAGGCGAGGCCGAAAGGCGUAGUCGAUGGGAAACGGGUUAAUAUUCCCGUACUUGGUGUUACUGCGAAGGGGGGACGGAGAAGGCUAUGUUGGCCGGGCGACGGUUGUCCCGGUUUAAGCGUGUAGGUGUGUGUUCCAGGUAAAUCCGGUUCACUUUAACACUGAGGCGUGAUGACGAGGCACUACGGUGCUGAAGCAACAAAUGCCCUGCUUCCAGGAAAAGCCUCUAAGCAUCAGGUAACAUCAAAUCGUACCCCAAACCGACACAGGUGGUCAGGUAGAGAAUACCAAGGCGCUUGAGAGAACUCGGGUGAAGGAACUAGGCAAAAUGGUGCCGUAACUUCGGGAGAAGGCACGCUGACAUGUAGGUGAAGUGAUUUACUCAUGGAGCUGAAGUCAGUCGAAGAUACCAGCUGGCUGCAACUGUUUAUUAAAAACACAGCACUGUGCAAACACGAAAGUGGACGUAUACGGUGUGACGCCUGCCCGGUGCCGGAAGGUUAAUUGAUGGGGUCAGCGCAAGCGAAGCUCCUGAUCGAAGCCCCGGUAAACGGCGGCCGUAACUAUAACGGUCCUAAGGUAGCGAAAUUCCUUGUCGGGUAAGUUCCGACCUGCACGAAUGGCGUAAUGAUGGCCAGGCUGUCUCCACCCGAGACUCAGUGAAAUUGAACUCGCUGUGAAGAUGCAGUGUACCCGCGGCAAGACGGAAAGACCCCGUGAACCUUUACUAUAGCUUGACACUGAACAUUGAGCCUUGAUGUGUAGGAUAGGUGGGAGGCUUUGAAGUGUGGACGCCAGUCUGCAUGGAGCCGACCUUGAAAUACCACCCUUUAAUGUUUGAUGUUCUAACGUGGACCCGU